CUCUCUCACUAGGUUACUACAUGGUACAGCAGACAUCUGUCUCUCGGUUACUACAUGGUACAGCAGACCCCUCUCUCUCACUAGGUUACUACAUGGUACAGCAGACCUCUCUCUCUCACUAGGUUACUACAUGGUACAGCAGACCCCUCUCUCACUAGGUUACUACAUGGUACAGCAGACCCCUCUCUCUCACUAGGUUACUACAUGGUACAGCAGAUCCCUCUCUCUCACUAGGUUACUACAUGGUACAGCAGACCCUUCUCUCUCACUAGGUUACUACAUGGUACAGCAGACCCUUCUCUCUCACUAGGUUACUACAUGGUACAGCAGACAUCUGUCACUAGGUUACUACAUGGUACAGCAGACCCCUCUCUCUCACUAGGUUACUACAUGGUACAGCAGACCCCUCUCUCUCACUAGGUUACUACAUGGUACAGCAGACAUCUCUCUCUCACUAGGUUACUACAUGGUACAGCAGACCCCUCUCUCACUAGGUUACUACAUGGUACAGCAGACCCCUCUCUCACUAGGUUACUACAUGGUACAGCAGACCCCUCUCUCUCACUAGGUUACUACAUGGUACAGCAGACCCCUCUCUCACUAGGUUACUACAUGGUACAGCAGACCCCUCUCUCUCACUAGGUUACUACAUGGUACAGCAGACCCCUCUCUCUCACUAGGUUACUACAUGGUACAGCAGACACCUCUCUCUCACUAGGUUACUACAUGGUACAGCAGACCCCUCUCUCUCACUAGGUUACUACAUGGUACAGCAGACCCCUCUCUCUCACUAGGUUACUACAUUGUACAGCAGACCAUCUCUCUCUCUCACUAGGUUACUACAUGGUACAGCAGACCCCUCUCUCUCUCACUAAGUUACUACAUGGUACAGCAGACCCCUCUCUCUCACUAGGUUACUACAUGGUACAGCAGACCCCUCUCUCUCACUAGGUUACUACAUGGUACAGCAGACAUCUCUCUCUCACUAGGUUACUACAUGGUACAGCAGACCCCUCUCUCACUAGGUUACUACAUGCUACAGCAGACCAUCUCUCUCUCUCUCUCUCUCUAGGUUACUACAUGGUACAGCAGACCCAUCUCUCUCACUAGGUUACUACAUGGUACAGCAGACCCCUCUCUCUCACUAGGUUACUACAUGGUACAGCAGACCCUUCUCUCUCACUAGGUUACUACAUGGUACAGCAGACCCUUCUCUCUCACUAGGUUACUACAUGGUACAGCAGACCCUUCUCUCUCACUAGGUUACUACAUGGUACAGCAGACAUCUGUCACUAGGUUACUACAUGGUACAGCAGACCCCUCUCUCUCACUAGGUUACUACAUGGUACAGCAGACCCCUCUCUCUCACUAGGUUACUACAUGGUACAGCAGACCCUUCUCUCUCACUAGGUUACUACAUGGUACAGCAGACAUCUCUCACUAGGUUACUACAUGGUACAGCAGACAUCUGUCACUAGGUUACUACAUGGUACAGCAGACCCCUCUCUCUCACUAGGUUACUACAUGGUACAGCAGACAUCUCUCUCUCACUAGGUUACUACAUGGUACAGCAGACCCCUCUCUCACUAGGUUACUACAUGGUACAGCAGACCCCUCUCUCUCACUAGGUUACUACAUGGUACAGCAGACCCCUCUCUCUCACUAGGUUACUACAUGGUACAGCAGACCCCUCUCUCUCACUAGGUUACUACAUUGUACAGCAGACCAUCUCUCUCUCUCACUAGGUUACUACAUGCUACAGCAGACAUCUCUCACUAGGUUACUACAUGGUACAGCAGACCCCUCUCUCUCACUAGGUUACUACAUUGUACAGCAGACCAUCUCUCUCUCUCACUAGGUUACUACAUGGUACCGCAGACCCCUCUCUCUCUCACUAAGUUACUACAUGGUACAGCAGACCCCUCUCUCUCACUAGGUUACUACAUGGUACAGCAGACCUUUCUCUCUCACUAGGUUACUACAUGGUACAACAGACAUCUCUCACUAGGUUACUACAUGGUACAGCAGACCCCUCUCUCUCACUAGGUUACUACAUGGUACAGCAGACCCCUCUCUCUCACUACGUUACUACAUGGUACAGCAGACCCCUCUCUCUCACUAGGUUACUACAUGGUACAGCAGACCCUUCUCUCUCACUAGGUUACUACAUGGUACAGCAGACAUCUCUCACUAGGUUACUACAUGGUACAGCAGACAUCUGUCACUAGGUUACUACAUGGUACAGCAGACCCCUCUCUCUCACUAGGUUACUACAUGGUACAGCAGACCCCUCUCUCUCACUAGGUUACUACAUGGUACAGCAGACAUCUCUCUCUCACUAGGUUACUACAUGGUACAGCAGACCCCUCUCUCUCACUAGGUUACUACAUGGUACAGCAGACAUCUCUCUCUCACUAGGUUACUACAUGGUACAGCAGACCCCUCUCUCUCA